rnacentral:tRNA from 1 species
GCUCAGUUGGUUGAGCAUGGUGUUUGCAACGCCAGGGUUGUGGGUUUCAUUCCCAC